UGGGAAUUUUGGACAAUGGGCGAAAGCCUGAUCCAGCAAUGCCGCGUGUGUGAAGAAGGCCUUCGGGUUGUAAAGCACUUUUGUCCGGAAAGAAAUCCUUGGCUCUAAUACAGUCGGGGGAUGACGGUACCGGAAGAAUAAGCACCGGCUAACUACGUGCCAGCAGCCGCGGUAAUACGUAGGGUGCAAGCGUUAAUCGGAAUUACUGGGCGUAAAGCGUGCGCAGGCGGUUUGCUAAGACCGAUGUGAAAUCCCCGGGCUCAACCUGGGAACUGCAUUGGUGACUGGCAGGCUAGAGUAUGGCAGAGGGGGGUAGAAUUCCACGUGUAGCAGUGAAAUGCGUAGAGAUGUGGAGGAAUA
rnacentral:rRNA from 1 species